GACGAACGCUGGCGGCGUGCUUAACACAUGCAAGUCGAACGGAAAGGCCCUGCUUUUGUGGGGUGCUCGAGUGGCGAACGGGUGAGUAACACGUGAGUAACCUGCCCUUGACUUUGGGAUAACUUCGGGAAACUGGGGCUAAUACCGGAUAGGAGCUCCUGCUGCAUGGUGGGGGUUGGAAAGUUUCGGCGGUUGGGGAUGGACUCGCGGCUUAUCAGCUUGUUGGUGGGGUAGUGGCUUACCAAGGCUUUGACGGGUAGCCGGCCUGAGAGGGUGACCGGCCACAUUGGGACUGAGAUACGGCCCAGACUCCUACGGGAGGCAGCAGUGGGGAAUAUUGCACAAUGGGCGGAAGCCUGAUGCAGCAACGCCGCGUGCGGGAUGACGGCCUUCGGGUUGUAAACCGUUUUCGCCUGUGACGAAGCGUGAGUGACGGUAAUGGGUAAAGAAGCACCGGCUAACUACGUG
rnacentral:rRNA from 1 species